rfam:Lentibacillus amyloliquefaciens strain LAM0015, complete genome.
GAGAACUCUUAGUUCGAGAGGUGGAAUGAUAGGGUAACGCCUUGAAACGCCCCUUUAAUACUCCGACAUGCGACAAGUAGAUAUGUGUAAUCGAAAGUGGUAUGAAGCUCGGUGAAGACGGCAGAAAUUUAUCGUAGUAGUGGUAACACCAACCGAAAGGGCGGUGGAGGCAUCGUCCAUAGAUUAUAUGCCGGAAGUCGUAAAA